rnacentral:rRNA from 1 species
GCAAGUCGAACGAGAACGGAUUAUAGCUUGCUAUAAUUGUCAGCUAAGUGGCGCACGGGUGAGUAAUAUAUAGGUAACAUGCCUUCAAGAAGGGGAUAACGUUUGGAAACGGACGCUAAAACCCUAUAUGCCUUUAAGACUUAAGUCUGCAAGGGAAAUAUUUAUAGCUUGAAGAUUGGCCUGUACAGUAGCAGUUAGUGGGUGAGGGAAUGGCGCACCAAGACAAUGACGCAUAACUGGUUUGAGAGGAUGAUC